rnacentral:tRNA from 1 species
GUUUAAAAACCUGAAUAGGGUGUGGUUUCGACCCACAACGAAGGCUUAUAAGCUUUUUAAGUG